rnacentral:snRNA from 2 species
GUGCUCUCUUCGGCAGCAUGUAUACUAAAAUUGGAACGAUACAGAGAAGAUUAGCAUGGCCCCUGCACAAGGAUGACACACAAAUUCAUGAAGGGUUCCAUAUUUUU